rnacentral:rRNA from 1 species
CACCAGCCCCUCGAGUGGUGGGGAUGAUUAUUUGGCCUAAAGCGUCCGUAGCCGGCCAUGUAAGUCUCCCGUUAAAUCCAGCGUCUUAAGCGUUGGGCUGCGGGAGAUACUGCAUGGAUAGAGGGUGGGAGAGGUCAGCGGUAUUCUAGGGGUAGGGGCGAAAUCCUUUGAUCCCUGGAGGACCACCAGUGGCGAAGGCUGCUGACAAGAACACGCCUGACGGUCAGGGACGAAAGCUGGGGUAGCGAACCGGAUUAGAUACCCGGGUAGUCCCAGCCGUAAACGAUGCAUGCUAGGUGUUGGGUUGGCCACGAGCCGCCUCAGUGCCGCAGGGAAGCCGUUAAGCAUGCCGCCUGGGAAGUACGGCCGCAAGGCUGAAACUUAAAGGAAUUGGCGGGGAGCACCACCAGGCGUGAAGCCUGCGGUUU